rnacentral:rRNA from 1 species
AUUGAACGCUGGCGGCAUGCUUUACACAUGCAAGUCGAACGGCAGCGCGGGCUUCGGCCUGGCGGCGAGUGGCGAACGGGUGAGUAAUACAUCGGAACGUGCCCAGUAGUGGGGGAUAGCUCGGCGAAAGCCGGAUUAAUACCGCAUACGACCUGAGGGUGAAAGCGGGGGAUCUUCGGACCUCGCGCUAUUGGAGCGGCCGAUGGCAGAUUAGCUAGUUGGUGGGGUAAAGGCCUACCCAGGCGACGAUCUGUAGCUGGUCUGAGAGGACGACCAGCCACACUGGGACUGAGACGCGGCCCAGACUCCUACGGGAGGCAGCAGUGGGGAAUUUUGGACAAUGGGCGAAAGCCUGAUCCAGCAAUGCCGCGUGUGUGAUGAAGGCCUUCGGGUUGUAAAGCACUUUUGGCGGGAACGAAAAGGACUGUGCCAAUACCACGGUUCGAUGACGGUACCCGCAGAAUAAGCACCGGCUAACUACGUG